UACGUAGGCAGCGAGCGUUUGUUCGGAGUUACUGGGCGUAAAGGGUGUGUAGGCGGUUGUUUUAAGUUUGGUGUGAAAUCUCCCGGCUCAACUGGGAGGGUGCGCCGAAUACUGAAUGGCUAGAGUGCGGGAGAGGAUAGUGGAAUUCCUGGUGUAGCGGUGAAAAUGCGUAGAUAUCAGGAGGAACACCGGUGGUGUAGACGGCUAUCUGGACC
rnacentral:rRNA from 1 species